rnacentral:rRNA from 1 species
GACGAACGCUGGCGGCGUGCUUAACACAUGCAAGUCGAACGAAGUGGAGAACGGGUGAGUAAUACGUGGGUAACCUGCCCUCCUUGUUGGGAUCAGCCUUGAAAACGGGGUCUAAUACCGAAUAAAGGGGGAUGGGCUCGCGGCCUAUCAGCUUGUUGGUGGGGUGAGGGCCUCCCAAGGCGGUGACGGUUAGCCGGCCUGAGAGGGUGACCGGCCACAGUGGGACUGAGAUACGGCCCAGACUCCUACGGGAGGCAGCAGUGGGGGAUAUUGCACAAUUGGCGAAAGCCUGAUGCAGCGACGCCGGGUGGGGGAGGAAGGAUUUGGGGUUGUAAACCUCUUUCGCUAGCGAACGGGUGGGUGGAGAAGGGGCGCCUGCUCACUACGUGCCAGCAGCCGCGGUAAUAC